rnacentral:rRNA from 1 species
ACCUGAAACCGUGUACGUACAAGCAGUGGGAGCACCCUUUGGGGUGUGACUGCGUACCUUUUGUAUAAUGGGUCAGCGACUUAUAUUCUGUAGCAAGGUUAACCGAAUAGGGGAGCCGGAGGGAAACCGAGUCUUAAUUGGGCGUUAAGUUGCAGGGUAUAGACCCGAAACCCGGUGAUCUAGCCAUGGGCAGGUUGAAGGUUGGGUAACACUAACUGGAGGACCGAACCGACUAAUGUUGAAAAAUUAGCGGAUGACCUGUGGCUGGGGGUGAAAGGCCAAUCAAACCGGGAGAUAGCUGGUUCUCCCCGAAAGCUAUUUAGGUAGCGCCUCGUGAAUUCAUCUCCGGGGGUAGAGCACUGUUUCGGCUAGGGGGCCAUCCCGGCUUACCAACCCGAUGCAAACUGCGAAUACCGGAGAAUGUUAUCACGGGAGACACACGGCGGGUGCUAACGUCCGUCGUGAAGAGGGAAACAACCCAGACCGCCAGCUAAGGUCCCAAAGUCAUAGUUAAGUGGGAAACGAUGUGGGAAGGCCCAGACAGCCAGGAUGUUGGCUUAGAAGCAGCCAUCAUUUAAAGAAAGCGUAAUAGCUCACUGGUCGAGUCGGCCUGCGCGGAAGAUGUAACGGGGCUAAACCAUGCACCGAAGCUGCGGCAGCGACACUGUGUGUUGUUGGGUAGGGGAGCGUUCUGUAAGCCUGUGAAGGUGUGUCGUGAGGCAUGCUGGAGGUAUCAGAAGUGCGAAUGCUGACAUAAGUAACGAUAAAGCGGGUGAAAAGCCCGCUCGCCGGAAGACCAAGGGUUCCUGUCCAACGUUAAUCGGGGCAGGGUGAGUCGACCCCUAAGGCGAGGCCGAAAGGCGUAGUCGAUGGGAAACGGGUUAAUAUUCCCGUACUUGGUGUUACUGCGAAGGGGGGACGGAGAAGGCUAUGUUGGCCGGGCGACGGUUGUCCCGGUUUAAGCGUGUAGGUGUGUGUUCCAGGUAAAUCCGGUUCACUUUAACACUGAGGCGUGACGACGAGGCACUACGGUGCUGAAGCAACAAAUGCCCUGCUUCCAGGAAAAGCCUCUAAGCAUCAGGUAACAUCAAAUCGUACCCCAAACCGACACAGGUGGUCAGGUAGAGAAUACCAAGGCGCUUGAGAGAACUCGGGUGAAGGAACUAGGCAAAAUGGUGCCGUAACUUCGGGAGAAGGCACGCUGACACGUAGGUGAAGUGAUUUACUCAUGGAGCUGAAGUCAGUCGAAGAUACCAGCUGGCUGCAACUGUUUAUUAAAAACACAGCACUGUGCAAACACGAAAGUGGACGUAUACGGUGUGACGCCUGCCCGGUGCCGGAAGGUUAAUUGAUGGGGUCAGCGCAAGCGAAGCUCCUGAUCGAAGCCCCGGUAAACGGCGGCCGUAACUAUAACGGUCCUAAGGUAGCGAAAUUCCUUGUCGGGUAAGUUCCGACCUGCACGAAUGGCGUAAUGAUGGCCAGGCUGUCUCCACCCGAGACUCAGUGAAAUUGAACUCGCUGUGAAGAUGCAGUGUACCCGCGGCAAGACGGAAAGACCCCGUGAACCUUUACUAUAGCUUGACACUGAACAUUGAGCCUUGAUGUGUAG